CAAUCUCGCAGCCCAGCCCAUUAAUUAUGUGUACCUGUUAAUUAUUCAAACAAAUUGCAAUGCAUGCAAACAAUAAGGAAUACGUCCUUUACGAGUUGUCUUAUAAUGAAACAAAUGCAUGCAUGAAUUGGUUUUUGUCGAGCUGUUAAUUAUUAGAUAGACUUCUAGCUAUACACGUCUAAAUCAAAAACGAUUUCACCAAGUUUAACUUCCUACUAUAUAAAAGAAGCUAAAUUGAGAGCUUAUAAGGGGUGCCACAUGGACAAAAUAAUCUCCACCAAUCAUACUGCCAUGUCACUGGCGGAUUGGGCUUUCAAUUAAAAUUGCAAUAAAAGAUUUGGGCUUGAUUUUGAUUACAAAAUUGGCUACAGCGAGUGGGUUUCAAAUUAAAGUUGCUUUGGUUACAAAAUUGGCUACAACGAGUGGGCUUCGAAUUAAAAGAAUGAGGUUCGAAUUAAAAUUGCUUUGGUUUGAUUACAGCGAGUGGACUUCGAAUUAAAAAAACAAUUUCGCAGCCCAGCCCAUUAAUUAUGUGUACCUGUUAAUUAUUCACUAAGAACACGUAAACAAAUUGCAAUGCAUGCAAACAAUAAGGAAUACGUCCUUUACG
rnacentral:lncRNA from 1 species